AACGAACGCUGGCGGCAUGCCUAACACAUGCAAGUCGAACGAGACCUUCGGGUCUAGUUGCGAACGGGUGCGUAACGCGUGGGAACCUGCCCUUAGGUUCGGAAUAACUCUCCGAAGGGGGUGCUAAUACCGGAUAAUGUCUUCGGACCAAAGAUUUAUCGUCUUUGGAUGGGCCCGCGUUGGAUUAGCUAGUUGGUAGGGUAAAAGCCUACCAAGGCGACGAUACAUAGCUGGGAUGAGAGGAUGAUCCGCAACACUGGGACUGGGACACGGCGCAGACUCCUACGGGAGGCAGCAGUGGGGAAUAUUGGACUACGGGCGAGAGGCUGAUCCAGCAAGGCCGCGAAAGUCAUUAAGUCCUGAGGGUUGUAAAGCACUUUUACCCGCGAUGAUAAUGACAGUACCGGGAGAAUAAGCUCCGGCUAACUCCGUG
rnacentral:rRNA from 1 species